CGAACGCUGGCGGCGUGCUUAACACAUGCAAGUCGAACGAGAAACCACCUUCGGGUGGGAUUAGAGUGGCGCACGGGUGAGUAACACGUGAAUAAUCUACCUCCAAGCUUGGGAUAACCAUUCGAAAGGAUGGCUAAUACCGAAUAAGCUCACGCCUUCCUUGGAAGAAGUGAGAAAAGGUGGCCUCUGUUUAUGCUAUCACUUGGAGAUGAGUUCGCGGCCCAUUAGCUUGUUGGUGAGGUAAAAGCUCACCAAGGCUACGAUGGGUAGCUGGUCUUAGAGGAUGAUCAGCCACACUGGAACUGAGACACGGUCCAGACUCCUACGGGAGGCAGCAGUGGGGAAUAUUGCACAAUGGAGGAAACUCUGAUGCAGCAACGCCGCGUGGGUGAAGAAGGCUUUCGAGUCGUAAAGCCCUGUUCUGGGGGACGAGGUCUUAUCGGUUAAUACCCGGUAAGGACGACGGUACCCCAGCAGAAAGCACCGGCUAACUCCGUGCCAGCAGCCGCGGUAAU
rnacentral:rRNA from 1 species